rnacentral:tRNA from 1 species
GGGCCCGUAGCUCAGCUCGGUUAGAGCGCUUGCCUGAUAAGCAAGAGGUCCCGGGUUCAAAUCCCGGCGGGCCCA